AUUGAACGCUGGCGGCAGGCCUAACACAUGCAAGUCGAGCGAGCGGCGGACGGGUGAGUAAUGUAUGGGGAUCUGCCCGAUAGAGGGGGAUAACUACUGGAAACGGUGGCUACUCCCGCAUUCUAUAGGUUGAAUCCAUAUGGGAUUAGCUAGUGGGUGGGGUAAAGUCUCACCUAGGCGACGAUCUCUAGCUGGUCUGAGAGGAUGAUCAGCCACACUGGGACUGAGACACGGCCCAGACUCCUACGGGAGGCAGCAGUGGGGAAUAUUGCACAAUGGGCGAAAGCCUGAUGCAGCCAUGCCGCGUGUGUGAAGAAGGCCUUAGGAUUGUAAAGUACUUUCAGCGGGGAGGCGUUACCCGCAGAAGAAGCACCGGCUAACUCCGUGCCAGCAGCCGCGGUAAUAC
rnacentral:rRNA from 1 species